AUACCAAGUCAUUGGUAAUCUCCCACCUGCAUGGCAACCACCAUUGAGUUAAUUUUCUACAAAGUAAGUAAAAAAACGUUCUUCAUUUCAUGCAAAGGAAUGGAUCAAAUUAUUAUGUAUUUAGUAUUGUAUGAAUUCACCUGGGUUAUAGUCACCAAAGAUGAUUUCUGCAAUUGCCGUUCCUCCAUAUUGACCUGGAUAACCAGCCCACAAAAU
rnacentral:misc_RNA from 1 species